CAGUCGCCGCGGGAAUACGUAGGUGGCGAGCGUUGUCCGGAAUCAUUGGGCGUAAAGGGAGCGCAGGCGGGCAUGUAAGUCUUUCUUAAAAGUGCGGGGCUCAACCCCGUGAUGGGAAAGAAACUACAUGUCUUGAGUACAGGAGAGGAAAGCGGAAUUCCCAGUGUAGCGGUGAAAUGCGUAGAUAUUGGGAGGAACACCAGUGGCGAAGGCGGCUUUCUGGACUGCAACUGACGCUGAGGCUCGAAAGCCAGGGGAGCGAACGGGAUUAGAUACCCCAGUAGUCCCUGUCUCUUAUACC
rnacentral:rRNA from 1 species